rnacentral:rRNA from 1 species
CAGUCGAACGAAGAGCGAUGGAAGCUUGCUUCUAUCAAUCUUAGUGGCGAACGGGUGAGUAACGCGUAAUCAACCUGCCCUUCAGAGGGGGACAACAGUUGGAAACGACUGCUAAUACCGCAUACGAUCUGACCUCGGCAUCGAGGAUAGAUGAAAGGUGGCCUCUACAUGUAAGCUAUCACUGAAGGAGGGGAUUGCGUCUGAUUAGCUAGUUGGAGGGGUAACGGCCCACCAAGGCGAUGAUCAGUAGCCGGUCUGAGAGGAUGAUCGGCCACACUGGGACUGAGACACGGCCCAGACUCCUACGGGAGGCAGCAGUAGGGAAUCUUCGGCAAUGGACGAAAGUCUGACCGAGCAACGCCGCGUGAGUGAAGAAGGUUUUCGGAUCGUAAAACUCUGUUGUUAGAGAAGAACAAGGACGUUAGUAACUGAACGUCCCCUGACGGUAUCUAACCAGAAAGCCACGGCUAACUACGUGCCAGCAGCCGCGGUAAUACGUAGGUGGCAAGCGUUGUCCGGAUUUAUUGGGCGUAAAGCGAGCGCAGGCGGUUUCUUAAGUCUGAUGUGAAAGCCCCCGGCUCAACCGGGGAGGGUCAUUGGAAACUGGAGGACUUGAGUGCAGAAGAGGAGAGUGGAACUCCAUGUGUAGCGGUGAAAUGCGUAGAUAUAUGGAAGAACACCAGUGGCGAAAGCGGCUCUC